UUACAGCAAACACCUUUUAGCCACUACAAGAAAACUUUCAAACAAGGAACAACAAUGCGUCGAUAACUCACAGCAUUGGCGAAAUCGCGGCAAGUGAAAUGCUGGUCGGCGAUGAUGCGAUCACCAAGCGCCUUGAGGCUCUUCACCGACAGCGGCUUCAGCUCGUGAAUCUAAACAGAAUCACCUUGCUGGCGAUCCACACGGCAACGAGGGCGAAGAGCUCCAGGUUGCUGUCCCUCAGAGGCUCGAGCAGCCAGGAGGUCACAGCUCGGCCACCCCGUGCGCCACAGAACCCCAUCUUCCUGCAGCGACAGCGAGCAAGUUAGUAAAACAAUAAGAAACCAAUUUAACCCCCACAAAAACCAAGGUCUCAACUUCGCGGGGUCACCUCCGGAGGGAGGGCAGUAGGCGGUCGGCGAAGAAGGAGAGCGCGGUGUACUUGACGACGGGACGGAGGUCGAGCCGCUAGAAAGGAAUCGCAGCAGAAGGCGGCAUGCGAGGUGAGGUAGCUGUCGAGGGGACCAUGCCGGAAGCUGAGGGGGUGGAGGGGAGCCCGUACCGUGGAGGCGUGGAGGAGGAACUCGAUGAGGCGGCGGCGGCGGGAGGGGCCAGGCCACGCGCUUGCCGCCGCCUCCACCGCGCGGUCCUCGUCCAUGGUGGUGCGCGCCGCGGUGCGGCAGCGAGGA